UGGCUUAGAAGCAGCCACCAUUUAAAGAGUGCGUAAUAGCUCACUAGUCGAGUGACGCUGCGCCGAAAAUGUACCGGGGCUAAGCAUAGUACCGAAACUGUGGAUGCAUAUAUUAUAUGCGUGGUAGGAGAGCGUUCUAAGUGCGGCGAAGUUAGAUCGAGAGGACUAAUGGAGCGCUUAGAAGUGAGAAUGCCGGUAUGAGUAGCGAAAGAUAGGUGAGAAUCCUAUCCGCCGAAAGACUAAGGUUUCCUGGGGCAGGCUCGUCCGCCCAGGGUAAGUCGGGACCUAAGGUAAGGCCGAGAGGCGUAGCCGAUGGACAACAGGUAGAAAUUCCUGUACUGAAAUUGUUCGAUAUGAGCAAAGGAGGGACGCAGGAGGCUAAUGACGCAUGUUGCUGGAAAUACAUGUGCAAGCAGUAAGAAAAAAGAUGAGUCAAAUGCUUGUCUUUAGAUUUCAAGCUGUGAUGCGGAGCGAAAUAAAAGUAGCGAAGGUCAUGAUGUCACACUGCCAAGAAAAGCUUCUAGCCAGAACAAUUUUACCCGUACCGCAAACCGACACAGGUAGUCGAGUGGAGAACACUCAGGUGAGCGAGAGAACUCUCGUUAAGGAACUCGGCAAAAUGACCCCGUAACUUCGGGAGAAGGGGUGCUGAUAGUAAAAUAUCAGCCGCAGUGAAUAGGCCCAAACAACUGUUUAUCAAAAACACAGGUAUCUGCAAAAUCGUAAGAUGACGUAUAGGUGCUGACACCUGCCCGGUGCUGGAAGGUUAAGAGGAGAGCUUAGCGCAAGCGAAGGUUUGAAUUGAAGCCCCAGUAAACGGCGGCCGUAACUAUAACGGUCCUAAGGUAGCGAAAUUCCUUGUCGGGUAAGUUCCGACCUGCACGAAAGGUGUAAUGAUUUGGGCACUGUCUCAACGAGAGACUCGGUGAAAUUAUAAUACCCGUGAAGAUGCGGGUUACCCGCGACAGGACGGAAAGACCCCAUGGAGCUUUACUGUAGCUUGAUAUUGAGUAUUUGUUAAACAUGUACAGGAUAGGUAGGAGCCAGAGAAAGUAGGACGCUAGUCUUACCGGAGGCAAUGUUGGGAUACUACCCUUGUUUGAUGGAUCCUCUAACUCACAGAGCUGAGCGUUCUGGAGGACAGUGUCAGGUGGGCAGUUUGACUGGGGCGGUCGCCUCCUAAAGUGUAACGGAGGCGCCCAAAGGUUCCCUCAGAAUGGUUGGAAAUCAUUCGCAGAGUGUAAAGGUAUAAGGGAGCUUGACUGCGAGAGCUACAACUCGAGCAGGGACGAAAGUCGGGCUUAGUGAUCUGGUGGUACUGCAUGGAAAGGCCAUCACUCAACGGAUAAAAGCUACCCUGGGGAUAACAGGCUUAUCUCCCCCAAGAGUUCACAUCGACGGGGAGGUUUGGCACCUCGAUGUCGGCUCGUCGCAUCCUGGGGCUGAAGUCGGUCCCAAGGGUUGGGCUGUUCGCCCAUUAAAGCGGCACGCGAGCUGGGUUCAGAACGUCGUGAGACAGUUCGGUCCCUAUCCGUCGUGGGCGUAGGAAAUUUGAGAGGAGCUGUCCUUAGUACGAGAGGACCGGGAUGGACA
rnacentral:rRNA from 1 species